rnacentral:ncRNA from 1 species
CACCGCGAGGUGGAAUCUGAAGGAAGAGGAAAGCAAACCUCUGGCCUGACGAACAGAAAUCACAUAAAAGGCUGUAAAUGAGGAUAAGGCUGCUGAACAAGUCAAAGUCCAAAAGCUACGCGGAAUCAUUUGCAGUAGAUGUGGCAGGUAGAUGGAGGGAAAGACU